rnacentral:rRNA from 1 species
AUGGCCUACCUGCAAAGCCCAUUGUUGAUGAUUGCUGGCUUCUGCCAACUCCGUAAAUUAGUACCAACCCUGUUCAUGGAUAUAGUUCUUGGAUAUAUAUUCUACAAGUUAAGUGUCCUAGCAGCAGAACUGAGAAGAAAUGGGAAGGCGAACCAUUUGUGCGCUCGGAUACAGCUCCUUCUCUUACUUAUUUUGUCAUUCAAGGGUAACAACGCUUUCUGGGAUGCUUACCGCCUCGUCACCGAGUUGAUCUGGUCCAUUGCUCUGGACGUGUACUUAGUAGCUGUCACCUUUGAAAUUAUCGACGAGGAGGAUCCGAGACCCGAAAUGCUAGGAAUUUACAAGAUACUAAAAACCAAAGGGGGCCUGACGAGGGUGAUAAAGAAUUGGAAUCUGAAAGAUGAGUAG